CAACUCUCUCAACCCGCCGCAAUUCAAUUCAUCUUCCCCUUUCUCUCACAUCCGACUCUCCUAUCCCCACCUCAAUUCGCCGUACUGGUCACCUCCAUCAUCGCCUUCGACUGACUCCCGCACACAACACAGUCCGCCGCCUUCCUCGGGGACGGCGAAAUCGCCGCUCCUCCCUCUCUUUCAUGCAAUCCGCCCACUCCUCCCUUCCUGCAGUUCCCGACAAGUAACGGUGAAGACCGCCACCGUCGUCUCAAUCCCCGAUUCUCCCUUGCCCUUCCCCCUAUCUACAGAACCCUACGGCCGCAGUGGCUCAAGACCACGGCCAUUGUCGUCCGCCACCGCGCCGCGCCGGCACCCUCCGCAUCUCCCCCCUCCCAUCUCCACACAAGCUCUCCUUUCCGCUGACCUCAGCCAUGGCACAGCCGUCGCCAAUGGCUGCCCCGAGCUUGUCACCACCACCGUCAAUGGGUGUCUCGCACAUUUGGACUAAAGGCACAAAUUUCUUAGUUUCCUCGAAUUUCUCAGAUAGGGGAUUCAAUGAUUGCUUGAUUCUGGAGGGAAAUUAGGGUUGAUAAGAUAGUGAGGAAAGGGAAAAAAAGAGAUGGGUUAUUUCAAGCAGGCGCUAAGAAGCAUCGAUGCGUCGCACUCCAGCCCUCACCGCCUCGCCCCGACCUGUCUCCUUCGAUAAGUUGGCGUUGCCGCCCCUCAGUCCGCCGCUAUCCCUAGCAGAUACGUCAGCCAUGGAAAUCGUUUCCAGUUUCCAGUGAAUCCAUCUGCCCAGGCUUGCAAUGACUCUGAGCGACGUGGUACGGUAUUUUGAAAAUAGUUGCUGCUCGCUGCCUAUGACUCAUGACCAGCUAUUGUUGAGAUACGAGUUACAGGAAGAUCAUUCCUUAUUAGGGGAAGAUGAAUUUGAGUAUGACUAUGAUCUGGUCAAGGUUCAAAUGAAGUUAUGUCUCGAGUUUUGGUUGGGCAAUAGAGAAGCCAGUUACCCUCCUAUGGAGGAGCUCUGGAAAUGCAAGUUCUACAAGUUUGCCUCUGUAUGUCCAAUUAACUCGGACCCAGAUGAUUCUCCAAGCAAAACGAAAAGUGAAGACAUUCCUUCACCUGAUCCGACUCCUAAGUAAGCCAUUAUUCAUACUCAGCUUCUCAAAGAAAAGGAGUAGUUGGAUUUAUUGAAUCUACUUGAUUCUUGCUAGGGUUGUUGCUGUUAAUCUCUCCCAUUUGGAGGAUUUACUACGUGGUUUAAUUUGUUGAUCAGUUUAAUAUUGUUGUAUAGUUCAUGAUUGUUGUUGAUUGUUAUAACAUAGGAUCAAAUGUCAAAUAUUAAAUUGUGAAAUUGGAUUGCAUUUGCUGCUGCAUUGUAAAGUUCAGCCCAGAACUUAUUUAUGUAUUAUUUGAAGUGUCCGAUAAUUGAAAUAGAAAUUUACAUAUUCUCUCUUUUGUU